AUAAGGCCCUGGUGGAUGCUCCCUGGAUGUGGACUGCAACAAACGGUUUGCUUCAACCUAAGCUGCCAAAGGGUCCUCGGCUGGUAAAUACCGCACUGGAUGUCACGUGCAGUGGCAUGUGCCUCUCCAUGAGCAGAAAGGAGUUAACGGUGGCUUCAGUCUGAGAACUGAAUGUGAAUGCAGGGAGUGAUGUACACACACACAAGUGGACCCACUGCAGAGACCAUUGGAUUUUAUUCCUUACAUCACAAUCCUCGGAAACCACAAAUGUCUUUGCAUUAUGGCCUCAUAUGAAGUCAGUCACUUUUGCAUGUCAAGAAUAAAAAGGAAACGUAUAAACAAAAUGGGAAGCAUGAAUAACUUUAGGAGUGUUAAGAAGAUGUCACUGAAUUUGAACAGUAGCAGAGCUGAGCCCCAAACAGAGAAAUAUGCAGUCUUUCCCAAGACAUGUUGAGACAUCCCCCUGCAGCUGUGAUGGGCUAUCAGCACAACAUCUCCACCCUUUCACCAGAGGCAACCUCUUAGAGGCAACUUUGUCUUCAUACUUCAGUUGUAUAUCAUCUAUUCUCAACUAGUGUCAAAAGACCCAGGAGCUUUCUGCCUGUCUGCUGGGAACAUCGAUCCACUCACCAUAACUAUGUACGAGAUGUGAAGUCUUUCCUUCCCUUGCACUCUCUCUCU